rnacentral:rRNA from 1 species
AGAGUUUGAUCCUGGCUCAGGAUGAACGCUGGCGGCGUGCUUAACACAUGCAAGUCGAACGAAGCACCUUGAUUUGAUUUUUCGGAUGAAGAUCCUGGUGACUGAGUGGCGGACGGGUGAGUAACGCGUGGGUAACCUGCCUCAUACAGGGGGAUAACAGUUAGAAAUGACUGCUAAUACCGCAUAAGACCACAGCACCGCAUGGUGCAGGGGUAAAAACUCCGGUGGUAUGAGAUGGACCCGCGUCUGAUUAGGUAGUUGGUGGGGUAACGGCCUACCAAGCCGACGAUCAGUAGCCGACCUGAGAGGGUGACCGGCCACAUUGGGACUGAGACACGGCCCAAACUCCUACGGGAGGCAGCAGUGGGGAAUAUUGCACAAUGGGGGAAACCCUGAUGCAGCGACGCCGCGUGAGCGAUGAAGUAUUUCGGUAUGUAAAGCUCUAUCAGCAGGGAAGAAAAUGACGGUACCUGACUAAGAAGCACCGGCUAAAUACGUGCCAGCAGCCGCGGUAAUACGUAUGGUGCAAGCGUUAUCCGGAUUUACUGGGUGUAAAGGGAGCGUAGACGGAGUGGCAAGUCUGAUGUGAAAACCCGGGGCUCAACCCCGGGACUGCAUUGGAAACUGUCAAUCUAGAGUACCGGAGAGGUAAGCGGAAUUCCUAGUGUAGCGGUGAAAUGCGUAGAUAUUAGGAGGAACACCAGUGGCGAAGGCGGCUUACUGGACGGUAACUGACGUUGAGGCUCGAAAGCGUGGGGAGCAAACAGGAUUAGAUACCCUGGUAGUCCACGCCGUAAACGAUGACUACUAGGUGUCGGGCAGCAAAGCUGUUCGGUGCCGCAGCAAACGCAAUAAGUAGUCCACCUGGGGAGUACGUUCGCAAGAAUGAAACUCAAAGGAAUUGACGGGGACCCGCACAAGCGGAGGAACAUGUGGUUUAAUUCGAUGAUAUGCGAGGAACCUUACCCGGGCUUGAAUUGCAGAGGAAGGAUUUGGAGACAAUGACGCCCUUCGGGGUCUCUGUGAAGGUGCUGCAUGGUUGUCGUCAGCUCGUGCCGUGAGGUGUCGGCUUAAGUGCCAUAACGAGCGCAACCCCUCUCCUUAGUUGCCAUCAGGUUAAGCUGGGCACUCUGGGGACACUGCCACCGUAAGGUGUGAGGAAGGUGGGGAUGACGUCAAAUCAGCACGGCCCUUACGUCCGGGGCUACACACGUGUUACAAUGGCAGGUACAGAGAGACGGUUGUACGUGAGUACGAUCAAAUCCUUAAAGCCUGUCUCAGUUCGGACUGGGGUCUGCAACCCGACCCCACGAAGCUGGAUUCGCUAGUAAUCGCGCAUCAGCCAUGGCGCGGUGAAUACGUUCCCGGGCCUUGUACACACCGCCCGUCAAGCCAUGAAAGCCGGGGGCGCCUAAAGUCCGUGACCGUAAGGAGCGGCCUAGGGCGAAACUGGUAAUUGGGGCUAAGUCGUAACAAGGUA